rnacentral:tRNA from 1 species
GCCGGGUUUGCCAAACUGGUAAAGGCACUCAUUCACAGGGGUGGAUGAAGGUUUAGUGGAUAGAGGCACUAAUGUAUGGUUCGAAUCCUUCACCCGGCA